rnacentral:lncRNA from 1 species
UCAAAAAAAUACACUAAUCGACCUAAUCCUUAACCCUACCAUCAUGCAUAUUCAUAUCCAUUAUAUGACAUAUAUUCAACCGAAUCCUAACAAUUCCUAACCCUAAUUCUUGUUCGGGCACACAUCAUGCAUAUAUUCAUAUCCGAUCUUAAUUCUUGUCUCAAAUUUGUCUAACAAUCUCACAUUCACACACAAAAUUUUUUCCUAACCCUAGAACAGCAAACCCUAGAAUUCUUGUCUCAAAUAGCAAACCCUAGAACAGUAAACAGUAAACUAAAAAAAAAUCAUAACCCUAGAACUUACCUCGUCGCCGGC